rnacentral:rRNA from 1 species
CAUUACUAGAGCAAAGGAUAGACAGCGCCCGCGGAGCUCGCUCCCGGGGCUACCCUACUCCCGUAGGGUUUAGAGUCGUCGGGCCUCUCGGAGAAGCUCGGUCCUGAACUCCACCCUUGAAUAAACUACCUUUGUUGCUUUGGCGGGCCGCCUCGUGCCAGCGGCUUCGGCUGUUGAGUGCCCGCCAGAGGACCCCAACUCUUGUUUUUAGUGAUGUCUGAGUACUAUAUAAUAGUUAAAACUUUCAACAACGGAUCUCUUGGUUCUGGCAUCGAUGAAGAACGCAGCGAAAUGCGAUAAGUAAUGUGAAUUGCAGAAUUCAGUGAAUCAUCGAAUCUUUGAACGCACAUUGCGCCCUCUGGUAUUCCGGGGGGCAUGCCUGUUCGAGCGUCAUUAUAACCACUCAAGCUCUCGCUUGGUAUUGGGGUUCGCGGUUUCGCGGCCCCUAAAAUCAGUGGCGGUGCCUGUCGGCUCUACGCGUAGUAAUACUCCUCGCGAUUGAGUCCGGUAGGUCUACUUGCCAGCAACCC